AUUGAACGCUGGCGGCAUGCUUUACACAUGCAAGUCGAACGGCAGCGCGGGGGCAACCCUGGCGGCGAGUGGCGAACGGGUGAGUAAUGCAUCGGAACGUAUCCUGUAAUGGGGGAUAACGUAGCGAAAGUUACGCUAAUACCGCAUACGCUCGAGAGAGGAAAGUGGGGGAUCGCAAGACCUCACGUUAUAGGAGCGGCCGAUGUCCGAUUAGCUAGUUGGUGGGGUAAAGGCCUACCAAGGCGACGAUCGGUAGCUGGUCUGAGAGGAUGAUCAGCCACACUGGGACUGAGACACGGCCCAGACUCCUACGGGAGGCAGCAGUGGGGAAUUUUGGACAAUGGGCGAAAGCCUGAUCCAGCCAUGCCGCGUGCGGGAAGAAGGCCUCGUUGUACGUACGUUACGUACGGUAAACGGGUAAGGGUACGGACGGAGUAAGU
rnacentral:rRNA from 1 species